GAUGAACGCUGGCGGCGCGCUUCAUACAUGCAAGUCGAGCGAUCGACUCCGGGCCUUCGGGCCUGGAGCACGGAGCGGCGAACGGGUGAGUAACACGUGGGUAAUCAACCCUCGGUACUGGGAUAGCCCGGGGAAACCCGGAUUAACACCGGAUAGCCUCCAGAGCCUUCGGGCACCGGAGAAAAGGUAGCUUCGGCCUCCGACCGAGGACGAGCCCGCGGCCGAUUAGCUUGUUGGUGGGGUAACGGCUCACCAAGGCGACGAUCGGUAGCUGGUGUGGGAGCAUGACAGGCCACACUGGGACUGAGACACGGCCCAGACUCCUACGGGAGGCAGCAGUAGGGAAUCUUGCGCUAAUGCGGGCAACCGUGACGCAGCGACGCCGCGUGCGGGAAGAAGGCCUUCGGGUUGUAAACCGCUUUCAGGAGGGACGAAGCUACUCGGGUUAAUAGCCCAGAGGGUGACGGUACCUCCAGAAGAAGCCCCGGCUAACUACGUGCCAGCCGCCGCCGUAA
rnacentral:rRNA from 1 species